CGCACGCUCCUUAGAUCCAUCUCUGAUAUUCCAAGGAGAUGCUUGAGUCAUUGGUGUGCUAGAAUAUGCAAUACCUUCUUUUUGCUUUCAAUACUUUGCACGACAAAAAAACUCAUUUUUUGGGUUAAAAAGUUCAAAGUGAACCAAAAAGUGGACAGG